rnacentral:rRNA from 1 species
CCUACGGGAGGCUGCAGUGGGGAAUAUUGCACAAUGGGGGAAACCCUGAUGCAGCGACGCCGCGUGAGUGAAGAAGUACUUCGGUAUGUAAAGCUCUAUCAGCAGGGAAGAAGAAAGACGGUACCUGACUAUGAAGCCCCGGCUAACUACGUGCCAGCAGCCGCGGUAAUACGUAGGGGGCAAGCGUUAUCCGGAUUUACUGGGUGGAAAGGGAGCGUAGACGGGUGUGCAAGUCUGAAGGGAAAGCCCCGGGCUCAAACCCGGGACUGCUUUGGAAACCGUGGAGCUAGAGUGAGGGAGAGGUAAGUGGAAUUCCUAGUGUAGCGGUGAAAUGCGUAGAUAUUAGGAGGAACACCAGUGGCGAAGGCAGCUUACUGGACAGUAACUGACGUUGAGGCUCGAAAGCGUGGGGAGCAAACAGGAUUAGAUACCCCAGUAGUC